GCGGAAGUAGCUCAGUUGGUAGAGCAUCACCUUGCCAAGGUGAGGGUCGCGGGUUCGAGUCCCGUCUUCCGCU
rnacentral:tRNA from 1 species